AUUAGAGUUUGAUCCUGGCUCAGGAUGAACGCUAGCGGCAGGCCUAAUACAUGCAAGUCGAACGGUAAGCUUUGUAGCAAUAUGAAGCCUAGAGUGACGUAAGGGUGCGUAACACGUAUGCAAUCUACCCUCAACAGGAGUAUAGCUCGGGGAAACUCGGAUUAACACUCCAUAAUAUUACGAAGUGGCAUCACUUUGUGAUUAAAACUGCGGUGGUUGAGGAUGAGCAUGCGUCUGAUUAGUUAGUUGGUGAGGUAACGGCUCACCAAGACGAUGAUCAGUAGGGGAACUGAGAGGUUGAUCCCCCACACUGGCACUGAGAUACGGGCCAGACUCCUACGGGAGGCAGCAGUAGGGAAUAUUGGUCAAUGGGUGAGAACCUGAACCAGCCAUGCCGCGUGCAGGAAGACGGCCUUCUGGGUUGUAAACUGCUUUUAUCUGGGGAUAAAAAGCCCAUGCGUGGGACAUUGAAGGUACCAGAUGAAUAAGCACCGGCUAACUACGUGCCAGCAGCCGCGGUAAUAAU
rnacentral:rRNA from 1 species